GGAAUGUUGGAAAACACAUUGAAAGGAAUGGUAUUGAGGUAGUAGGUGAAGCGCAUGUAAAAACCAACGGGCACCAGUUGCAUCUGGUGGGGCGCCAGUACGUAGAAGGUUUUCUUCCAGUUCUUCUGGUAUCUCCAAAGGAAGUCAUCCUCAACAGCGUUCCUAUAUAAAGAAGAAAGGGAAGUUCAAGUGGGCUGUGUGUUGUUGAUAACAACACAGACGUGAGGGGGAAAGCUGCUGCUGUGACCGGUGCGACGUGAGCGGCCAUUUCAACAUGAAAAGUAAGUGCUGCUGAAAUGUUGAUCCAGUUAAGAAGUAUUGUGAUCCUUUACAUUAGUAAAAGUACUAAUACCACACAUUACAAAUACAUUUUCGUCAG